AUUGAACGCUGGCGGAAUGCUUUACACAUGCAAGUCGAACGGCAGCACGGACUUCGGUCUGGUGGCGAGUGGCGAACGGGUGAGUAAUACAUCGGAACGUGCCCAGUCGUGGGGGAUAACGUAGCGAAAGCUACGCUAAUACCGCAUACGAUCUAAGGAUGAAAGCGGGGGAUCGCAAGACCUCGCGCGAUUGGAGCGGCCGAUGGCAGAUUAGGUAGUUGGUAGGGGAAAGGCCUACCAAGCCGACGAUCUGUAGCUGGUCUGAGAGGAUGAUCAGCCACACUGGGACUGAGACACGGCCCAGACUCCUACGGGAGGCAGCAGUGGGGAAUUUUGGACAAUGGGCGCAAGCCUGAUCCAGCCAUUCCGCGUGCAGGAUGAAGGCCUUCGGGUUGUAAACUGCUUUUGUACAGAACGAAAAGGUUUGACUUAAUACGUUGGACUCAUGACGGUACCGUAAGAAUAAGCACCGGCUAACUACGUGCCAGCCGCCGCCGUAA
rnacentral:rRNA from 1 species